UACGUAGGGUGCGAGCGCUAAUCGGAAUUACUGGGCGUAAAGCGUGCGCAGGCGGUUCUCCAAGUCCGUUGUGAAAGCCCCGGGCUCAACCUGGGAAUGGCAGUGGAAACUAGGGGACUGGAAUCUGGCAGAGGGGGGUGGAAUGCCGCGUGUAGCAGUGAAAUGCGUAGAGAUGCGGCGGAACACCGAUGGCGAAGGCAGCCCCCUGGGCUGAGAUUGACGCUCAUGCACGAAAGCGUGGGGAGCAAACAGG
rnacentral:rRNA from 1 species